GAUCCCUAGCUGGUCUGAGAGGAUGAUCAGCCACACUGGAACUGACACACGUUCCAGACUCCUACGGGAGGCAGCAGUGGGGAAUAUUGCACAAUGGGGGAAACCCUGAUGCAGCCAUGCCGAGUGUGUAAAGAAGGUCUUCGGGUUGUAAAGCACUUUCAGCGAGGAGGAAAGGUUGGUAGCUAAUAACUGCCAGCUGUGACGUUACUCGCAGAAGAAGCACCGGCUAACUCCGUGCCAGCAGCCGCGGUAUACGGAGGGUGCAGCGUUAAUCGGAAUUACUGGGCGUAAAGCGCACGCAGGCGGUUGGAUAAGUUAGAUGUGAAAGCCCCGGGGUCAACUGGGAUUGCAUUUAAACUGUCCAGCUAGAGUCUUGUAGAGGGUUUAGAAUUCCAGGUGUAGCGGUGAAUUCUUAGAGAUCUGGAGGAAUACCGGUGGCGAAGGCGGCCCCUGGACAAAGACUGACGCUCAGGUGCGAAAGGUGAGGAGCAACAGGAUUAGAUACCUGGUGUCCACCCGUAACGAUGCGAUUGGAGCUGGUCUUGAG
rnacentral:rRNA from 1 species